rnacentral:rRNA from 1 species
ACUCCUACGGGAGGCAGCAGUGGGGAAUAUUGCACAAUGGGCGCAAGCCUGAUGCAGCCAUGCCGCGUGUAUGAAGAAGGCCUUCGGUUGUAAAGUACUUUCAGCAGUGAGGAAGGCGGAGUCGUUAAUAGCGGCCUCGUUUGACGUUAGCUGCAGAAGAAGCACCGGCUAACUCCGUGCCAGCAGCCGCGGUAAUACGGAGGGUGCGAGCGUUAAUCGGAAUUACUGGGCGUAAAGCGCAUGCAGGUGGUUUGUUAAGUCAGAUGUGAAAGCCCGGGGGCUCAACCUCGGAAUUGCAUUUGAAACUGGCAGACUAGAGUACUGUAGAGGGGGUAGAAUUUCAGGUGUAGCGGUGAAAUGCGUAGAGAUCUGAAGGAAUACCGGUGGCGAAGGCGGCCCCCUGGACAGAUACUGACACUCAGAUGCGAAAGCGU